GAUGAACGCUGGCGGCGUGCCUAAUACAUGCAAGUCGAGCGAACGGACGAGAAGCUUGCUUUUCUGAUGUUAGCGGCGGACGGGUGAGUAACACGUGGAUAACCUACCUAUAAGACUGGGAUAACUUCGGGAAACCGGAGCUAAUACCGGGUAAUAUUUUGAACCGCAUGGUUCAAAAGUGAAAGACGGUCUUGCUGUCACUUAUAGAUGGAUCCGCGCUGCAUUAGCUAGUUGGUAAGGUAACGGCUUACCAAGGCAACGAUGCAUAGCCGACCUGAGAGGGUGAUCGGCCACACUGGAACUGAGACACGGUCCAGACUCUACGGGAGGCAGCAGUAGGGAAUCUUCCGCAAUGGGCGAAAGCCUGACGGAGCAACGCCGCGUGAGUGAUGAAGGUCUUCGGAUCGUAAAACUCUGUUAUUAGGGAAGAACAUAUGUGUAAGUAACUGUGCACAUCUUGACGGUACCUAAUCAGAAAGCCACGGCUAACUACGUG
rnacentral:rRNA from 1 species